AUGGUGGAUAUGGAGUCCACUUAUUGAAACAAACGUAAAGUUAACUAAACGAACGGUGGCAGUGAGACACUGGAAAACAUGUGGAGAAGUUUCAGAUUCAGCUGCUAGUGAAAGAUAUGGUAAAUAUGGAGAUUUAGUAUUAUCCGAUAUUUAGGCGUAUUUAUCUGAUAAUUAGGCGAUAUUAGGCGUAAGCCUAAUGAAAUCCGAUUAGGCAAGCUCGGGACGAGCUUCUAGCAGGAUGGCCGACUGUAAGAGUCUUGUUUUCCGUUAAAAAAUUGUUUAUAUUAAAUUGUGUUAUUUUAAGAAAUAAUAUUUUAUUUGAAUCUCUAAUUGACUUUUCUUGACCGCAUGUAUACAAUGUCGUUUCCUAGACGAUGCGGUUUGCAUUGUUGAUGAUUAUUUUGACUGACGUCGCCAUUUAUCAAAAAAUAUUAAAUUCAGAUUAUAAUUGUGUGGAAAAUAUUUCUGGGACUGAAUAGAAGGAAUGAAGUAUUAUACAGAUUGCAAAUUGCGUGAUCAUAGAGUGAGAGCAUUACACAAGUGUCCCGGCAUCUAAG